rnacentral:misc_RNA from 1 species
GAUGAAGAACGCAGCGAACUGCGAUAAGUAAUGUGAAUUGCAGAAUUCAGUGAAUCAUCGAGUCUUUGAACGCACAUUGCGCCCCCUGGCAAUCCGGGGGGCAUGCCUGUCCGAGCGUCAUUGCUGCCCUUCAAGCCCGGCUUGUGUGUUGGGUCGUCGUCCCCCCCGGGGGACGGGCCCGAAAGGCAGCGGCGGCACCGCGUCCGGUCCUCGAGCGUAUGGGGCUUUGUCACCCGCUCGAUUAGGGCCGGCCGGGCGCCAGCCGGCGUCUCCAACCUUUUAUUUUACCAGGUUGACCUCGGAUCAGGUAGGGAUACCCGCUGAACUUAAGCAUAUCAAUAAGCGGAGGA